GACAUUUUAACUAUACAAGUAUAUAUUUUGAAAAUAUAAAAAAGAUUCCUAAUCUAAAUGUCU
rnacentral:tRNA from 1 species